AUACGUAGGUGGCAAGCGUUGUCCGGAAUUACUGGGUGUAAAGGGCGUGUAGGCGGGGAGACAAGUCAGAUGUGAAAGCCCAUGGCUUAACUGUGGAACCGCAUCUGAAACUGUUUCUCUUGAGUACUGGAGAGGAAAGUGGAAUUCCAAGUGUAGCGGUGAAAUGCGUAGAGAUUUGGAGGGAACACCAGUGGCGAAGGCGGCUUUCUGGACAGUAACUGACGCUGAGGCGCGAAAGCGUGGGGAGC
rnacentral:rRNA from 1 species